CGAAAAUUAUUUCCCAAUUUUGCAAAAUGCCUUUAGAAACAGAAAAAACCGUCGCUAACCGUAGGAAAUACAACUUUUACUAGCGAAGAUAAAAACCGCCGCUAAAAGUUGGCAGACUGUGAAAACCUCCAACCACUCCUGUAACAAAGAAAUUUUGGACAACAAAGUUCAGAAAACAUAUAUUCUUUUAUGUUUAUAUACACAGUUUACAUGAAAAAUGUUACUAAAUAUCGACCAAAUUAUUACUUGAUACAUGAAAAAUGUCCCAAUCUGUCCAACAAACUGGACAUGAAGGGAAAAUUUUCAGUAAGUUCCUCUUGCUCUCCUUUGUAAAGACUUCUACUGACAUGGAUGGUAGCAACUUCUUGCAUGUUAUCAUUGCUUAAUCCUUCACUGAAAUUUUGAAAUGGUCCCUCAGAAAUUCCAAAGCCAGCUGAGGUGGAAUAUACCAUGUAAUCCUAGGGAUGCUACAUCUGAGCAUCGUGCACCGUGCACCUUACGCCAUCCAUUAUGCUCCACAUUGGAUUCACUACAACAUUAGAUAGAAACCGAAAAUUCCUUUCCCAUUGACAAGUUUUAUACAGAAAUGUGAGGUCAAUAUCAGAUAUUCCAAUUUCUAAGUCGAAAGGAAAAUUUUGCUCUAUAAAAUUUCCCUUCCGUAACUUGACACUCAUGUUAAAAGCUCAGUUUGGAAUAGCAAUCAACGCAAAAUUUACUGAAGCAUAAUAUAUGACUAUAUGCUACUGGUAAUGUGUCCCAAAGAUUUCAAAAUCUCUGUUAUCCGAGGAUGACAUAUAAGUUAUACAAACAUGGUAGGAAAUGGUGCACUCAAAGAACAGCUAUAGAAUUUUUAAAAACCUCAAUCAUUAUACAAAGGAUAAAUGGUUUUUGUGUCUGUGCACCUAAGUGAUCAGGGUUAGCAUGCACAAGCAGCUGAGUCAAUACAAGCGCCAAGCCUUGGUCAAAUAACCUUAAGUACACUAACGCUACAUUAUACUGCAUGUGAUGCUUGCAACAAAUUUAGUCCUACACUAACAACUGAAAGUCAUUAGAAACCUGAAAAAACACAUAAGCCUGCCUGUAUUGGGAAGGAAUACGUUAUCUAGUAAUUUUCCUUCCACAUCUUGAAGAACAUGUUCAAAGCUCUGUUUGAAAUAAGAUUCAACUUACACUUUUCCUAAGCAUAUUACUAAAGCUAAAUGCUGCCAUGGAUAAUCAUUAGGGUUGAAGAUCAAAACCCACACUCUCUUCUACCAUAGUAUACGGAAUUAGGGAGAGGAAUCGGACAAGGACCUGAUCUAUCACUAUUACUAAUACCAUAGAGGCUGCCAGAUUAUCUUGCACACAACACUGCCCUUGAACACUAAAUUUUUGGAAACAGAUGUUUAGCUUUUAGAAGUUCUCCAGCUAGGUUUAGUUCGGUUAAAAACUUUAGGGUCAUUACCUUCUACCUAGGUGUCAGAGUUUGUAGACAGAAACUCUUGUGCAAUUGUAAUUCUUUUAUUCCAAAGCCAGAAUAUAGUUCCUUCACUAAAUUUUGACAUGCUAAGAAGGGUGCCUCGAAAAAUAAGCACGAGAACAAGAAAUUAACAGAAACAAAAAGAAAGCAUACUUACUGAAGAGAUAGGAGGGGAGAGAGGGUCAAGCAGGGGCUUAAUUAUCCAGACCUGUAAAUAGCAUCCUUGUCAAUGGCUUCUAUUCUGCGACUGGCAAGGCAAUUCUGGGCAUUCCAAUGACAUAAAAACAAAAUAUACGAACAUUAUAAUGAGGUCAAGAAUCAAGUGUUCAAUUCAAGCUGUUGUGCUAGUAGAAUGAUAAGGGAGGCUUACCUCUUUCAACAAAACGCGGACCAACCAUAACCCUAAUUUAGUAACGAAGAUGAGUUUUUCGGUGUAAUUUUUUGUUGAAAAGACCCACGUAGAGAUUCUAGAAGCUGCGACCGCAGUCGGCAUUGGCCGGAGAAGACGGUGGAGGAGAACGAGGAGAUGAGGUUGGGGGAUUACCGAGUCGGCCGAGUUGGAACCGGCGAAGAGGAUUUGCGAGCGGCGAAAAGAGACACGAUUUUCUUUUGGGAAAGUUUGGGAAGGAAGCCCAAACACAGAAAAAGUCAUUUAGCC
rnacentral:lncRNA from 1 species